CCAUGCUCACUUCAGUAGUACUAAAAUUGGAACAUUACAGAGAAGAUUAGCAUGGCCCCUGUGCAAGAAUGGCAUGCAAAUUAGUGAAGGGUUCCAUAUUAAA